ACCCCAGCUCCUUUUUGGGUGGGAGCAGCCAUGACAAGGAACUGUAUUAAACUUCGAAAUGCAGAACUCUAGAGUAGCCUGUGUCUACGCUGAUUUUAAGUUAUGAAUUUUCUAGUGGUCCUUAUUAUAGGUAAUGAGACAUAUUCCCUACAAAUCAGGAAUAUCCUAUAAUUCUAUGGUUUCCACCUCCCAAUGACACCUCUCUGAUUGUCUCACACUUAGAAGUAAUACCCAAAAAUAGCCUUUGAGGAAUCCCAUGCCCUGGUGUUUUAUUUGGAAGGUAAGGUCACUAUUUAUGUAUCAGCCAUAAAUACUUGAAUGAGAGUGAAAAUUCCUAAGGAUUUGCGAUUUCCGGCUGAUGGCACUAGAUCCCUUGGAAGUGUCCCAUGUCAUAAUAUGCCAACACAUUUAGAAUUUUCAACAGUCAUGGAAACAAACAGGUGCUUGGGGCAGCUAAAAAUAACCACCCUGGGAAGUAAAACUGUGGCAGUGCCAAGGAGCUAAGGUGGGCAGUACUGCACUUUCGGGUGAGGUCAAAACUCUGGAGGGAAGGCCAAGAAAAGAAAAUUCUGCCCAUGCCCCUCCUCCCAGCACCCAGGAGUGUGUUUUCUCUUCUCAGAAUCUCUGUCUGAUGUGCUAGCCUUUUUGUGUCAUCUCGACUGAAACGUCUCACAGCUCCAACCCACUGCCCCCAUAUCUUGCAUAGCUUUCUGUCCAGAUUUCUGAAUUAAAGGCUGGAUCCAGAGGGUGUCCCACUGUGCAUGGAUGGGGGGCUUCCUCCCGCCCCAGUGGGAUGCUCCUGCUGCCAUUCUCACCCCGGAACACCCCUGACUUAGCCACCUCCGGGGCGGUGAGAGGUGUGAGGGAUGAUCAGGGAGUGCCAUGCUCAGCAGCCUGAACCGUGUCAGGGAGCCCAGGCAUUCCAGCCUGUGUCAUCCUCCCCCUCCUGUGAAGAGCCACAGCCACAUCCUCCAUGCCCUGCUGCACUUCCUGAGGAGUGAAAGAUGGUGGCUGUCAGGGUGUCAAGGAUGACGGGUGGCAAGAGGGAUAAACACAGCUUGUUACUACCAGAUUCGAUUACCGGGUGAUGCUUGAAGACAAAUGGCCUGGGGCCUUUCUGCCCGUUGAGGGCAGGGGCAGUCUUAGUCACCAGGAGCAGGGUCCUAUGAGGAGGAGUUAGGGAUGUUGUGGAAUUGUCUCCCAAAGCCAGUGCCAGCCGAUAGGACUAGUUGUGUUAUCUCGAGUUUUCAUUGUUGGUAGUUUUGAAUUGGGAGCCUUGAUUUGACCCUGAGAAUAACCAAAACUGUACAAAAGACAUGUAUUCAAAACAAGACACAAUAAGGCUCAAAAACAAAACUGUCUGUGGUGAUAAAGGUUAGAGUAGGAGUUACCUUGGGGGCAGAGGAAUGUUGGCUGGGACAGGAUAUGCAAGAACCUCUAGAAUGGUUCUGGAAUGUUCUGUAUCUUGAUCUGGUGGUGGGGACACAAGUUUAUACAGAUGUAUUAAUUGAGCUGUACAUUUAAGAUGUGGGGAAUCGCUCUGAACCUAUUCUGGUAGCAGGGGCUCCCCGAGUUUUAAAAAAGAUGUGUACAUUUUACUGUAUAUAUGCUAUAUCUCAGUGAAUAAGUAACAAGAAAAAUAUGCAUAAAGGUGGACUGUGAACAGAAACACCUUGGCAACAUUUGAAUAACCUAGCUUUUACCAUAUUUGGAGUUUGCUGUCCCCCGGUCCUAGGUGCUAAAAACCUGAUUUGGUUCAGUCCAGACAUUUAAAACACCAGCCAGCUAUGGAGAGUAAAAUAAUGGCAAGUCUCUUCCUAGUUUGACCAUCAAGAGAGUAAUUUGGAAACUCCAGCCCUGUGCCCGAAACCAGAGUCUGUCCAUCCCUCUACAAUCAGAUGAGAUUCCUGGGGCAUCCAGGUCAAGCAGAUCCAGCUUCGAAUUGCUGUUCUGCCACUUUAACACCGGGACCUUCUGAAAAACAGUUGCCCUCUCUCAGGUUCCGUUUCUUUGUGAAUUGGGUGAACUCUUGAGUGUUCUUUAGCAAAGGAGUACCUGUAACGUGCUCCACCCAGUGAAUGUGGUGAUUUACCAGAAGUCUUCAGAGGCAAGCCAUCUUCAAUUCAGAAGGGGAAUCCCACAUGUGUGUUGAAUAUGAGGCAUUGUUUAAGACACCUCCUGCCCUCACCACAUUGGCAAACUGACAGCGUCAACUUGAAACAAGUCUACACAUUGUGGCCAUUUUCACUCCACAACAAAUGUUUGUAAGUGGCCACCUAAGCCUGUGAACUUCCUAACUUUGAUAAUUACAAACACGAGGUAGAUAAGAUUGAAGCAAACCUGGCAAGUUAUACUGACUUGCAGCUGAAGCACUCUGAGAAACAGAACAAUUUCUUCACAGAAAAAGGAAAUUAAGGUGUUCUACACUCUUUAAUUUCCAAGGUCUUUGUUUAAAGUGAAUGAGUUCAAAUGAGGGAAGACACAUUCUGCUCAUGUUUGAUGUCACUCACUACUCAUGUCGCAGUAUAGGGUGUCACAGCCUGUGUCCCAGCUUCUUCCCAUGGGCACCAUGCUCUUCAGCCAUACAGACUCGGACAUUCCACUGCCAACCAGUAUCCUCACCAAUGACCCCAAGGUGCUGUUGAGGCACUUUUCUUUUUGAGAGUUUACUGACAUCCUACCCGCCACUGAGUAGCAUGUUCCUUGCCCAUGAUUCCCUUCUGUACUCCCUCCCCCAAUACCCUGUAUAGGCCAAGUAUCCCUUAUCCAAAAUGUUUGGGGCCAGAAGUGUUUCCCAUGAUUCCCUUCUGUACUCCCUCCCCCAAUACCCUGUAUAGGCCAAGUAUCCCUUAUCCAAAAUGUUUGGGGCCAGAAGUGUUUCACAGUUUUGGAACUCUUAUUGGAUUUGGGAAUAUUUGCAUUAUACUGACCAGCUGAGCAUCUGUAAUUGGAAAAUCUGACAUGCCCCAGUCAGCAUCUCAUUUGAGUGUCAUGUUGGCACUCAAGAAGUUUCAGAUUUUUGAGCAUUUUGGAUUUUGGAUUUUGGAUUUUGGGGUUAGGGAUGCUCAACUUGUACUAGCAUUAAAUUAGGUCUAAUCAGUUUUUAUCAAAAUAAUUUUUUUCUUUUUUGUCUCCUUCACUAGACCAUGGAAUUCCUUGGAAUCAAAAAUCAUGUCCUCUUCUCCUGUGCCUAGAAGAAUGCCCGAGAGGUGUUCACUAUGUAUUUAUAGGGUGAAAUUUUCCUAUAUAUGUCUUAUAUCCCUUAAGAAUUUUUUUUCCAGACAAUAAAUGCUCCCUUUUCAAAGCA